AUUGAACGCUGGCGGCAGGCCUAACACAUGCAAGUCGAGCGGAUGAAGGGAGCUUACUCCUGGAUUCAGCGGCGGACGGGUGAGUAAUGCCUAGGAAUCUGCCUGGUAGUGGGGGAUAACGUCCGGAAACGGGCGCUAAUACCGCAUACGUCCUGAAGGAGAAAGUGGGGGAUCUUCGGACCUCACGCUAUCAGAUGAGCCUAGGUCGGAUUAGCUAGUUGGUGGGGUAAAGGCCUACCAAGGCGACGAUCCGUAACUGGUCUGAGAGGAUGAUCAGUCACACUGGAACUGAGACACGGUCCAGACUCCUACGGGAGGCAGCAGUGGGGAAUAUUGGACAAUGGGCGAAAGCCUGAUCCAGCCAUGCCGCGUGUGUGAAGAAGGUCUUCGGAUUGUAAAGCACUUUAAGUUGGGAGGAAGGGCAGUAAGUUAAUACCUUGCUGUUUUGACGUUACCAACAGAAUAAGCACCGGCUAACUUCGUG
rnacentral:rRNA from 1 species